UUUAGCAAGAAAAAUAAUUACUUCGACUCUACCGCGGGGCGAGGAUUCACACGAAUAGGCUUUCGCAAGAUCUCGCUCAAAUCAAACAAAAUUUCACUGCCAUCUCAAUCGCGACUGAUGCCUACAACCACCUCCGCCUCCGCUGCGGCGGCUGGUAAAUCCCCAAUUGCCUCCGACUCCGACGAGUACGAGUACGAAUAUGAGUACGAGGAAAUAGAAGUAGAAGAAGAGGUAGAAGUAGAAGUAGAAGAAGAAGUCUCCGACGAAGAAGUCAAUGAAGAAGAAGACGAGGAAGAAGUAGAAGAAAAGGGAGAAGAUAUAUUGCCGACAAUAAUCGAUGGUGAAGAUCACAAGAAAAGUGCGCAUCAUUCUGUUGUCAAAAUUGACGAAGAGGAAGAGGAAGAGGAAGAGGAGGAAGAAGAAGAGGAAGAAGAAGAAGAAGAAGAAGAAGAAGAAGAAGAAGAACCGGAAGAACAAGAAGAAGUAGAAGAAAAGCGGGAAGAUAUAUCGCCACCAAUCGACGAUGGAGAUCACGAGAAAGGGAAAACAACAACUGUAGAUGAUGGUGGCAUGCUUUACACUGACAAUGAUAAUAAACCUUCUCAAUCUGAUCAUGGUGGAAUUACAACUUCUUCUGUCAAUACUAGCAAUCCUGUUGGUGUAUCAGUAUCAGCUGAAGUAGUGAAAGUGAGUGGAGAAUCAGUGAUUCAAGUUCCCAAUGAUGAUGAUGAUAAAUUCCCUCCUGAAAAAGGAUCUAAGGAGUCAAAUGAAGUUAUUCAAUCCCCUCUUUCUGAGAAAGAAACUAAAGAAACAAAUGAAGGUAAUAGUAAUUUCCCACCUUCUUCUGAGAAAGAAACUAAGGGGACAAAUGAUCAAGAUAUGGAUGAUAAACACCAAAAACAACCAGUUAGAUUGGAUGUGCCUUUGAGAAGGCCUAGAAGUUCAUCACCUGUGACAAAAACCAAAGAAGGAAACAAAAGACAAGUUCUUGUAUGCGAGUUUUUUGCCAAAGGUUGGUGUAUUAAAGGAAAGUCUUGUAGGUUUCUUCAUAUAAAAGAGUCAAAGGAGGACAAGCAAUGUAAUUCUCAAAACACCCCCUCGAUUUCUGCUCAAAUGACGAAAAUACCCCCGUUAAACCAUAGCUCUGUUUGGACUAGUAAUUCAUUGUUGUUUAGUUCCUCUUCCUCAUCUUGGAAUAAUCCUGAUUCCUUUCCAACCAUGAAUGAUUACAAAUCUGGUUCUGAAACAAAACAUUUGUAUCAGAAUCAGAAUCAGAAUCAGGAUAAGGUUUUAUCUGGUGAUUCUCAUUCAACAAGGUUUUAUAAAUAUGAUUGGGAGCCUUCAAAACCUUUUAGAUCAAUGUUUCUUCUCUCACAAGGUCUUUCUCCAUCUACUCUAUAUGAUCCAAUCCGUGAUAGCAUUGAUCCACCGGAUUAUGGAGUUGGGGUUUCUAAAUUUUCUUCCUCAUGUCAAGGGCCUUCAACCUCAACCACACAUUCACCAAAAAACAUCAAUCCACCUGUAAAAGGGACACCACAUGACAUUGAUAUUGAUAAUGCCAGUGAAAGACAUUCGGUUGCUAGUCAUGACAAGGAUACGAGUUCAAAUAAAGUAAAUGUAGAAAAAGGAAACGAGCAUAUGCAUACGAGCCAUGUUUAUAAUGGAGAUAUGACGGAAGCAAGUGAAGCAAAUGAUGGGCCCACAAAAAGGGAAAUUAAAGAAACUAGUGAAGCGAAAGGGGAUGAGGUUGUUAUGCAAAGGGAAUCAAAAGCACUUAGACAUUUUCGUGGUGCUCUUAUAGAAUUUGUUAAGGAAAUUGUGAAGCCAGCAUGGCGUGAGGGUAACCUUAGCAAGGAUGCUCACAAAGUGGUUGUUAAGAAGGUUGUUGAUAAGGUCCUUAGCACAUUGUCUUCUGAGAAUAUUCCAAGCACCGAAGAUGCUACCGAUUUCUAUCUUUCUUCGUGUCAACAAAAACUUGUGAAACUUGUUGAGGGAUAUAUUAAGAAGUAUGGGAAAUCAUGACUUGCUUAUAUUUUUAGAAACUUUCACCAAGGGCGGAGGUUUACAUGUAUUAGAAGAGACAUGGCCUCAUUAAGUGCUGCAAGUUUCUAUGAUUUUGUGGUAAAAGACAUGAAUGCCCUUUUGAUCCUUAGUCCUAGAGGUUGAGGAGGGUAUUCACGUCUUUUUAGCAGACGAGAGACUAUAGCCAAUUGGUUUGAAGAUAAAUGCUUCUUCACAAGAUGCUAUCACAAUGUAGUA